GGAGUGUAAUUCAUGUAUCUACGGAGAAGGUAAGGGUGGCGGUGGCAGGAAGAAGCGAUGGGUGCGACUUGGGAAUGGAGGAUGAGAUCAUGGGGAACGGGGGAAGUGCGUUUGGGAUCAGAGGUGGAGGCAGUGAGGUGAUUGAUGGUGGCGCGUAUGUCGUUGAGGUGGCGAAGGAGGUGUUGAGGUAUAUGGAUAGGGAUAGGGGGAGAAGGUUUGGGAGAUUGGAAGGUUAAAGAGAGGUGGUAAAGGGAGAGUAUGUUGGUAGCCGCCAUGGCUAAGAGGAGGAGGAAGUUGAAGCCCAUGGCGAAAGCCAU
rnacentral:lncRNA from 1 species